AUGAUAUUCUCCAUCUCAUGUGAGCAGAUCAAGGAUGACCUAUUGCAGUUGAUGGGGUUCCAGGAAAAGCUUUUUACCGCUUAAGUAUCUAGGGGUGCCUCUAAUUGGGAGGGACGUCAAAGGUGCAGACUGUGUUCCGCUAAUCGACCAACUAAAUUCGUAUCUCCAGAAAUGGAAGAAUAGAGCUUUGUCAUAUGGAGGAAAAGUCCAACUUGCUAAUUGGGUCUUAGUGGGCA
rnacentral:lncRNA from 1 species